GUUAGGGCAGUUCACUGUGAUGGCUAACGGCUACCAGCCAACGUCAGUGGUAACGACUAGUGCUAACAAACUUUGAGCCAGAUCAUCAACAGUGACAGUGUAGGUCCAGUUUUCACUUCUUGUCUCAUUUCUUUCACUAACUCGGUGCGGACAUAUUUGUGUUGAGUUUCAAAGCUUCACCGACUAGGAAACAAAUUUUAGCAUCUAACGUUUUUGCUGAAGCUAGUUAGUUCACAGUACCCCAGACAGGUGUGACGGUUUAAAGAGUGACCCUGCUUACUGGCGACUUUUGGGUGAAUGCGUCUGUCUUCGAUUUUCCAGGCUGUGUGGAUGCAGUUUGAAAUGAGGCCAAAAGACUGCAGCAGGAUGUGUCGACCUGGUGGAAGAGAAACUCGGCUGCUAUGGUUUAUCUUGACAAGCACCAGCUGCAGAGGGUUACUUUAAAGAACUGGCCUUCAGGGGUUUUUGCUGCUUUUAGGAAUCAAUGUCAUGCAGGAGGGGACUGAUUGAGCUGUAUGGAAGCCACAGCCCACCCACAGAAUACAAAUAAGGAGAACCAUAUGUGGGAGAUGAAUUAGCAGCUCUGACAGAGCGAAGCAACACCCCGCUGGCCUUAAAGAAAGCGACCAGGAAAGGCUGUUUGGACUGGGGCCCGUUCCUCCCGAUGAUUCCAGCAGAUUUUAUGUUGAUACUUCGCCCUUUAAAAAAAUGAAGUCUCCACACAGAGCUGCAGGCCCAAGUUCUGCUGUGGGUUCAUCACCCAGUGGUUACUGGUUGCAGUGAUGUCAAACACAAGCCAGCCCCCAUCAGAUGCCUGCACUUUUUUGGAGUCGAGCAAGAAUGUCUCUGCAUCUCUGGAGGAUCUUGGAGAGGGGGAUUGUGUGUUGACCUUGGCAUGGAUUCACCAGUCUUCAAGUCAUCCUUGUAUCUCUACUUCAGACUUUAACUGAAGGGAUGGAAAACACGGGGCAGAUCCCACUCCUCCAUUGCCACUGAUCCUUUAUACCUCAGUGUGGCCACAAAGACGUAGGAUGGAGGCAGACCAUCUGGAAAAAG